CCUACGGGAGGCAGCAGUGGGGAAUAUUGCACAAUGGGCGCAAGCCUGAUGCAGCGACGCCGCGUGAGGGAUGACGGCCUUCGGGUUGUAAACCUCUUUCAGUAGGGAAGAAGCGAAAGUGACGGUACCUGCAGAAGAAGCGCCGGCUAACUACGUGCCAGCAGCCGCGGUAAUACGUAGGGCGCAAGCGUUAUCCGGAAUUAUUGGGCGUAAAGAGCUCGUAGGCGGUUUGUCGCGUCUGCCGUGAAAGUCCGGGGCUCAACUCCGGAUCUGCGGUGGGUACGGGCAGACUAGAGUGAUGUAGGGGAGACUGGAAUUCCUGGUGUAGCGGUGAAAUGCGCAGAUAUCAGGAGGAACACCGAUGGCGAAGGCAGGUCUCUGGGCAUUAACUGACGCUGAGGAGCGAAAGCAUGGGGAGCGAACAGGAUUAGAUACCCUGGUAGUCCAUGCCGUAAACGUUGGGCACUAGGUGUGGGGGACAUUCCACGUUUUCCGCGCCGUAGCUAACGCAUUAAGUGCCCCGCCUGGGGAGUACGGCCGCAAGGCUAAAACUCAAAGGAAUUGACGGCUGAGACGNGCGAGACGACGACGAGGAGAGG
rnacentral:rRNA from 1 species